CGCCUCGACCGAGCAGCACCGCGCCAGCUCGUUCGCGUCGUCCGCCGCUGGAAAGCCACCGUCUCUCGCCCUCCCGAGCCUCGCAAUGUUUGGCUAUUACCUGCGGCUACAACUAAUCCCAGAUCACGCUCCCACCCACAGAUGCACUAAAUCACACAUUGUUUGACGGGAACUAGUGGGGCCACUUCACCUGGAGGAAGAUCCGAGUCUGCGCAGCCGAAGUCACAAUGAAAUAGCAGCUCAAGAAAGUCAAAUACAUCAAAAUUUAUUUUAGUUGCAAGUCACGUAAAUACAAGUGUCGCGUCAUGAUUAUGAGAGUAUAAUAGAGAAUGUGCACAAUAAGUAGUACAUGAUGGAUUCAAGUUGAGGAUUUGAUGUUGUGCUGUAGCAAACAAUGUAAAAGCUAUUCUAAGAUUUCCUAAGUGUCCAUCACUUACAGCUUAUUAAGUCAACAAACACUGUCCAUGUCACUCAGCUGCCAUUAAUGCUCAUGUAUUAUCAAAUACCACAAUAAUAUUAAAGAGGGUUAAAGAUGA